AUUUGUCUGGGGAAAGAGGAUCAGGGGGAAGGGAAAAAUCCCUGGCAGUUUUGUUCUCUUUUGUUUUGCCCUAAAAAGGGGAAACUGUGUUUCACUUCACAUCAUCUAGCUUUUCGGUGGAACGACCAUGUCCUGAAUGUCUGGGUGGGCGCAGGUGCGCGUCCAUGGCCACUGGCCACGGAGCCUGAGCGGCUUCAUCACACCAGGACGUCUUGUCUUUACACAGUUAAAAUAAUGACGCAACCCGAAGUCUUCUCUAGUUUGAGUUUGCCUCGUGGGGAAGCGCUCCUCUUCUGGAGGAAGGACACUUACUGAGCCUCCCCUGCCCGGGGCUCCAUUUCACACACGGGCCCUCAGAUCUGAUCCCUGACAUCACAGAGGACGCUCUGGUGGCCCAGUCAUCUCCCUCACGGUUGACCAUUUUCGAUUGUCCUCUUAUUUUGUCAAAUUUUAUUUUCUACCGAGGAGCCUCCCCCUCCCUCCUACACGACCUGGAUUAGGAUCUAGACCUGUGGGCCUCCGUUGGCCCUGAGAACAAAAUAAAAUUGAUGGCUGUUCAAGAUGCAUAGAUUCCACCAGAAAGUCAAGGUCAUGAGAUAUUAAAUGCAUCCAGUCAUCCCUUCCCAUUGUGGACCAUGCUUGACCUUGGUUCUGGCCCAUUCUCGACCUUGACUCACCUGGGUCCUGACCCACUGUUGAGCCUCACUCACCUGGGUCUUGACCUACUGUUGAGCCUCACUCACCUGGGUCCUCACUCACUGUUGAGCCUCACUUAUCUCGGUUCUGUUUACUGUGGUUUGAGCUCUGGAGUCAAAUAUAUUUUCAUUCUAACUCUGGUUUCUCCACUUAGCAGCAGUGUGAUUUGGGGGAGGCAAAGGAACAUCUGUGUACCAGCCUGUUGAGUGAGAAAUGAAGAUGAGAGCACCUCCUUGCAGGGUCAUGAUGAGUGCCGGGGGUCCUACAGUUUUUCUUCUAUGUCUGAGGAUAACCAGAUGGAAGACUUUGUAAAGACUGAAUGAUUACUCUGAAUUAGAUUUUCCUAUCACUUGCUUCGAGGUUAGCCAACGGUGGGGUUUGGAGCGACAGUCCCCACAAGACCACUUCCUCUCAGACACCAGCUGAAAAGAACACAGAUUGGGAUCCACGGAGGGAGCGAGCAGGUGUAGGGGACAGAGUCCAGGAAAGUAGCUCCUUGCCUCUGGAGGUCCAGCUGAUGUGUGUGGCCCAAAGCCCCUGCCCCUCAACACAGCAUUACCAUCUGGCCGGCUCAAAGCCCCCGGGGAAAACAUAUCUCUAUCAAGCAUGACCUUCCAAGGGCUGAGAGAUGACCUCCCAGCAGCUGAGGCCAAAGGUCAACACUUCUUUUUGGGCAAAGCUAAAUACUUUACUACACACUUAUUUAUUAAAAAAAAA